ACCGUUUAUGGGCGUACCUGUUCGUGUUUCUUCCGCCUGACGCCUUCUGUCGCUCCCCGCCCGACGCCUCCUCUCGCUCCCCGCCCGACGCCUGCCGCUAGGGUUCCGCCGCACCUGCCCUCUGGCGGCGGCGCCCCUCAUCUGCCUCCCCUUAAGCCAGCGGCGGCGCUCCACCCACCGAAUCGAGCAACGACGGCCCUCAUCGUUCUCCCCUCGAGCCCACAGUUGUGCCCCUCAUCCACCUCCCCUGAAGCCGGCGGCGACGCUCCUCCUCCUCCUCCUCCCCUCGAGCCCGCGGCGAUGCUCGUCGUCCACCUCCCCUGAAGCCGGCGGCAACGCCCCUCCUCCGCCUCCCCUCGAGCCGGCGGCCACGAAAUCGAGCUGACGGAGCCCCUCCACCACCACCUCUGCACGCCGGACACCUUACCCAUCCCGAUCUGGUGCUAAGGUAAUAUGUCAUGGUAAUGCAGUACUUGUCUUGCAAAAAUAACCAACGCUAACCUGAAAUGCAUUGAUCCUAACUGAGAAGUUUGAAGUUUCGAAUCUUAAUAUUUUGUAUAAGUCAGUGGCAAUGAACAAACUGAUAUUCGGCAUGUUGAAUUAUUGCCAAGGAUAAAAGAAUAAAUGACUGACAGACUGAUGCUAUGCUUCGUAUACGAAGUUAAGGAACCAGCAAAUGUUUUGGACAGCUAAAGAAACAACUAGUUUUGUGUCAAUAACCAAAAUGAGGUGCAUAGGCAUGUUCAAGACAUAGUGUUUUGUUUCUGAUCUAUACUGCGAAAUUAUCGUAUGUGUAUGUGUGUUGAUAAAUUGGUGGAUGCAUGACAAAUUGGAGGAGGCAUGAUUAUUGAUAUUGUUAUGAUUGUGAAUUGAAUGGAUUUUUUUCUUUAUUCAAGAAUGACUGAUAAGGCAGAUUGGUGUGAUGCCAAUGUGAGGCAUUUCAUUGACAUAUACAAAGGAGAGAGAAGCUGGGAAUAGGCCCUUGGAAAUGUUCACUAGAGCUGAUUGGAAAAAUCUAGUAACUAAGUACGAAGAAAAAACUGAGCUGAAGCAAAUAAAAAAACAAUUGAAGAAUAAGUUGGAUGGAAAAAUAGAGUUCAAGAAUUCUGCCACUGGUCUUGGAUGGAAUGAGGCAAAGCAAACUGUUGACUGCUCCAACGAAUGAGAUGCAACAAUCCUGAUAAAGGUAUCAAAUGCAAUCAUGUUAGGUUCAGAAAACAAGGACCGAAGUACCUUGAUGAUCUUAAUAUGUUGUUUGAUAAGAUACAUGUUAGCGGGGCAAGUGCAUCCUAUCCUGGAGAUAUUUCCUCCGAUGACUCAAGUGAUGAGGAUGUGGGUGAGAUACAAAAAACUCCAGAUAAUGAUGAUGUCAAGUUGGCUGCUUUCAGAAAAAUCAAAACUAGGAAAAAAAGAAACGAAAGGACUCCUCUACUGCUAUUUACGAAAAGGAUGAGAAGAGCCCAUUAUUUCGAUUGUACAAGAACGAACACAUGUUUGAAGAUAGAAACUGCAGCAGAGAAGAUCUCUACAAGUAUUGAAGCAUCAUCUGCACCUCCAACCAGCCAAGUCCCUAGCAUUGCAGAGGCUAUGAAGAUGGUUAAAAAUUGUGGGGUGCAAGAGAAAACAGCUCUAAUGCAUACAACCACCUUUCUGAUUAUCAAGCCUGAAUUUAGGGAGGUCUUUAGCAUGCUGGAAAUAAAUGAAGGAAGGUUUAACUUGCUUGAGAGGGAGCAUACAAAGGAGUUGAUGAGGUGCAUGUAGAAGCUUUCAGUUAUUUAUUUUUAGUGUUAUGUUGUGAGAAUCAUUUAUUUUCUUGAGAACCAUUUGAAAUAAUGCUGCCUGUAAACAAUAUUUUCUUUAGUUAUUGCUUCCAUGUUGAGAACUAUUUAUUUGCUUCCAUGUUCAGAACCGUUGCUAUCCACGUUACUAUAAUUUGGUUGUGCCAUUGUGGUCC